rnacentral:misc_RNA from 1 species
AACCUUAUGGACCUGCGGGCGUAUACCUGCGGAAGGAUCAUUAUAGAGUUUUCUAAACUCCCAAACCCAUGUGAACUUACCAUUGUUGCCUCGGCAGAACCUACCCGGUACCUACCCUGGAACUAGCUACCCUGUAGCUACCCAGGAACGGGCUACCCUGUAACGUCCUGCCGGUGGACUUCUAAACUCUUGUUAUUUAUAGUAAUCUGAGCGUCUUAUUUUAAUAAGUCAAAACUUUUA